UGUGCAGGCGGGCUAUCAAGUGGUGCAUGAAAUCGCUCGGCUUAACCGGGCGCGGUUGUGCCAGACUGAUGGUCUGGAGUGCGGGAGAGGGGCGUGGAAUUCCGGGUGUAGUGGUGAAAUGCGUAGAGAUCCGGAGGAACCCCAGAGGCGAAGGCGGCGCCCUGGCCCGACACUGACGCUCAGACACGACAGCAUGGGGAGCGAACG
rnacentral:rRNA from 1 species